UACGAAGGGGGCUAGCGUUGCUCGGAAUUACUGGGCGUAAAGGGAGCGUAGGCGGAUAGUUUAGUCAGAGGUGAAAUCCCGGGGCUCAACCUCGGAACUGCCUUUGAUACUGGCUGUCUUGAGUAUGGGAGAGGUGUGUGGAACUCCGAGUGUAGAGGUGAAAUUCGUAGAUAUUCGGAAGAACACCAGUGGCGAAGGCGACACACUGGCCCAUUACUGACGCUGAGGCUCGAAAGCGUGGGGAGCAAACAGG
rnacentral:rRNA from 1 species